rnacentral:rRNA from 1 species
GACGAACGCUGGCGGCGUGCUUAACACAUGCAAGUCGAACGGAAAGGCCCCUUUGGGGGUACUCGAGUGGCGAACGGGUGAGUAACACGUGAGUAACCUGCCCUUGACUUCGGGAUAACUUCAGGAAACUGGGGCUAAUACCGGAUAGGAAUCCUUGCUGCAUGGUGGGGGUUGGAAAGCUUCGGCGGUUUUGGAUGGACUCGCGGCUUAUCAGCUUGUUGGUGGGGUAGUGGCUUACCAAGGCUUUGACGGGUAGCCGGCCUGAGAGGGCGACCGGCCACAUUGGGACUGAGAUACGGCCCAGACUCCUACGGGAGGCAGCAGUGGGGAAUAUUGCACAAUGGGCGGAAGCCUGAUGCAGCAACGCCGCGUGCGGGAUGACGGCCUUCGGGUUGUAAACCGCUUUCAGCAGGGGCGAAGCUUUUGUGACGGUACCUUCAGAAGAAGCACCGGCUAACUACGUG